rnacentral:lncRNA from 1 species
GGAAAGUGUGUCAAAUAAAGCUCUUGUAAAUUUUCAAUUGAUUUUCAAGAAGGUCCUUCCACACUGAGUGGAAAAAUGUAAUUGUUCAAUAAAAGAUCAUUAUUUUUUUAAACUGAUGUUAACUUUUCAAAUAUGUUAGACAUUCAAAAUUACAUGCAGUAGGACUGAACAAUUUAAUGAAAAGUAAAACAAGUAUUCUGCAAACCUUAAACAUCAAGUGAUGAGACAUAAUGCGCUUCCCAAGUCUGCUUUUCUUUUUUUUUUUUUUUGUCCUGGAGAAGUGGUAACAGUUCAGAGUUUCUGUUCUCCUCAUGCGGUAACUGUGUGCUGCACGUGUACAUGAACAGCGGAUUGCUCAGCCCCCGUCCUUGAACCUCAGACGGUUGUGCCCGGCUGUGUAUCCUUCCGUGCCCCGCCUGCUCACCUGCGAGCUGUGUUAGAAUCAUAGAAGUGGACGUGUAGCUGCCGUGACCGUGGGACAUUUACUCUCUCUUCUGUGUGACACUGCACUGCACAAUCGCUCCCCACCGAAGGGUAGAACUCGGAUCGAGCCCAUCUGUGACGUCACUUCCGAAGUGGCUGUGGUAACGCCUGGCCUGUCCAGCAGGAGAGCUCCGCUCGGUGUUCUCCUGGGGUUAUGUUGCACCCCAUCUUUGUGGAAGCAGGUAAUCAUGGCCCAUCUUCACAGGACCCAGUACAAUACUUUGAUUGGUGUCUGCUCUGGGCUCCUGUUGCCUCACCCACUGGUCACAUCUGGGAGGAGGACACACCAGUUCUUCACACAGCUCCUUGGAAUAUACUUCAAAUAUAAUGACACAUCCUCAUGA